rnacentral:lncRNA from 1 species
UGACCUCCCCUCUCCUUGCAGCCCUCGCCCGCACCUUCUCCAACACCCCGGCAUCCCUGCACCACCUGCUCGGGCAGCCCCGGCGGGCUCUGGGACUUGCUGUGCGCGCCGAGAGGAAGGCAAGCUCCGAACCCGCGUCUGGCUGACGGGCUGUCGCGGCUGCACCACCAGCAGGAGGAGGAGAAGAAACUAUUUCGCCCACCGAAACCCCUUUCUGCGGGUGCUUCGCAGCUGCCGCUUCUGCUGCCUCCAAUCCAGAGAAGGGACCAUGAUUUGGAAACGCAGCGCCGUUCUCCGCUUCUACAGUGUCUGCGGGCUCCUGCUACAAGGUACGCUAACUGAGGAAACAAAGACUCCAAAAUCUCGAAGAUUUAAUACAAC